rnacentral:rRNA from 1 species
GGUUAAGCGACUAAGCGUACACGGUGGAUGCCCUGGCAGUCAGAGGCGAUGAAGGACGUGCUAAUCUGCGAUAAGCGUCGGUAAGGUGAUAUGAACCGUUAUAACCGGCGAUUUCCGAAUGGGGAAACCCAGUGUGUUUCGACACACUAUCAUUAACUGAAUCCAUAGGUUAAUGAGGCGAACCGGGGGAACUGAAACAUCUAAGUACCCCGAGGAAAAGAAAUCAACCGAGAUUCCCCCAGUAGCGGCGAGCGAACGGGGAGCAGCCCAGAGCCUGAAUCAGUGUGUGUGUUAGUGGAAGCGUCUGGAAAGGCGCGCGAUACAGGGUGACAGCCCCGUACACAAAAAUACACAUACUGUGAGCUCGAUGAGUAGGGCGGGACACGUGGUAUCCUGUCUGAAUAUGGGGGGGCCAUCCUCCAAGGCUAAAUACUCCUGACUGACCGAUAGUGAACCAGUACCGUGAGGGAAAGGCGAAAAGAACCCCGGCGAGGGGAGUGAAAAAGAACCUGAAACCGUGUACGUACAAGCAGUGGGAGCACGCUUAGGCGUGUGACUGCGUACCUUUUGUAUAAUGGGUCAGCGA